UACGAAGGGGGCGAGCGUUGCUCGGAAUUACUGGGCGUAAAGCGCACGUAGGCGGCUUUCUAAGUCGGGUGUGAAAUCCCCGGGCUCAACCUGGGAACUGCAUCCGAGACUGCAUUGCUAGAGUAUGGGAGAGGGAAGCGGAAUUUCUGGUGUAGCAGUGAAAUGCGUAGAUAUCAGAAGGAACAUCAGUGGCGAAGGCGGCUUCCUGGACCAAUACUGACGAUCAGGUGCGAAAGCGUGGGGAGCAAACAGG
rnacentral:rRNA from 1 species